AUUGAACGCUGGCGGCAUGCCUUACACAUGCAAGUCGAACGGUAGCGGGCCUUCGGGUGCCGACGAGUGGCGAACGGGUGAGUAAUGCAUCGGAACGUGCCAUUGAGUGGGGGAUAACGUAGCGAAAGUUACGCUAAUACCGCAUAUUCUGUGAGCAGGAAAGCAGGGGACCGCAAGGCCUUGCGCUCUUUGAGCGGCCGAUGUCAGAUUAGCUAGUUGGUGAGGUAAAGGCUUACCAAGGCGACGAUCUGUAGCGGGUCUGAGAGGAUGAUCCGCCACACUGGAACUGAGACACGGUCCAGACUCCUACGGGAGGCAGCAGUGGGGAAUUUUGGACAAUGGGGGCAACCCUGAUCCAGCCAUGCCGCGUGAGUGAAGAAGGCCUCGGUUG
rnacentral:rRNA from 1 species